CCUACGAGCGGCAGCAGUGAGGAAUAUUGGUCAAUGGGCGGAAGCCUGAACCAGCCAAGUCGCGUGAGGGAAUAAGGCCCUACGGGUCGUAAACCUCUUUUGCCGGGGAGCAAAGGCGGGGACGUGUCCCUGCCCGGAGAUUACCCGGAGAAAAAGCAUCGGCGAACCCCGGGCCAGAAGCCGCGGUAAUACGGAGGAUGCGAGCGUUAUCCUGAUUGAUUGGGUUUAAGGGGGGCGUAGGCGGGCUUUUAAGUCAGCGGUAAAAAUUCGGGGCUCAACCCCGUCCGGCCGUUGAAACUGGGGGCCUUGAGUGGGCGAGAAGAAGGCGGAAUGCGUGGUGUAGCGGUGAAAUGCAUAGAUAUCACGCAGAACCCCGAUUGCGAAGGCAGCCUUCCGGCGCCCUACUGACGCUGAGGCACGAAAGUGCGGGGAUCGAACAGGAUUAGAUACCCCAGUAGUC
rnacentral:rRNA from 1 species